UCGAGAAUCUUCGGCAAUGGGCGAAAGCCUGACCGAGCGACGCCGCGUUCGGGAUGAAGGCCUUCGGGUUGUAAACCGCUGUCAGUGGGGAGGAAAUGCUGGAGGGUUCUCCCUUCAGUUUGACCUAUCCGCAGAGGAAGUACGGGCUAAGUUCGUGCCAGCAGCCGCGGUAACACGAACCGUACGAACGUUAUUCGGAAUCACUGGGCUUAAAGGGUGCGUAGGCGGCUUGG
rnacentral:rRNA from 1 species